AACGUAGGACACAAGCGUUAUCCGGAGUUACUGGGCGUAAAGGGCGUGUAGGCGGACGUGUAAGUCUAUUCUGAAAGCUCCUGGCUAAACUGGGAGAGGCGAAUGGAGACUGCAUAUCUAGAGUGAGGAAGAGGAAAGUGGAAUUCCGGGUGGAGCGGUGAAAUGCGUAGAGAUCCGGAGGAACACCGACGGCGCAGGCAGCGUCCUGGCCGCUUGCUGACACUGAGGCACGAAAGCUGGGGGAGCAAACAGG
rnacentral:rRNA from 1 species